CAGAAACUGCAUGUGCUGCUUAGAGAGUGCUUCUCCCACAGAGUUAUUUCUGUGCAGACACCUGGAAGUGGUUGCAUACUUGCUCCGGCUUGCAGACGAGUUUUGGACAGUCAGGUGUCUUGCUGCAAAAUUGAAGCAAAAGAAAAGAGAUCAGCUAACCUUCAAACUUAACAUGGAGCAGACUUAUUUUUCCAUUUAAAGGAGAGGAUUGGAAAAUGCCAUAUCCCUCAGCUAUUUUUUCCAGUGUUGACUGAUCCAAUUGCAUGGUUUUCUGU
rnacentral:lncRNA from 1 species